GACCUCGUGAUCCGCCCGCCUCGGCCUCCCAAAGUGUUGGGAUUACAGGUGUGAGCCACCACUCCCGGCCCUUCGCUCCCUACUCUCUGUAGCUCCCAGACCCUGCAUGGUAGCCAGGCCCACGGGUCCCAGGAGGCGUCUGGGGCCCUCUGCUUAAAGAUCCCUCUCAGUGGCUCUGCCUGUGGUCUCCGGAGACCCCUCCUCCACAGGCGGUGCUGGCCCACAGGCACCAGGCCGGGCAUCCAGUCUCGACUCCGACGGCUCUCAGAUAGCCAGGCUGUCUCAAAAUAAGCUCCUGAAAUGUGGAGACAUGGCUCAUCGAGUGGCAAAUGUUGGCAUGGGACCGGGGACUGUGAGAGAGGCUGGGGCUGGAUGAGCUGGGUCAGGCGGGGCCACAAUCUCACCCUGAGCUGUGGUGUCUGUUCCACGGGGCCUUGCACGGCAUGAAGAGAAAAGGGCCCCCGAUGCUGCCGCGCCCCCCACCCCCAUGCUGCCACGCGCCCCCCCCAUGCUGCCGCGCCCCCCGCAUGCUGCCGCGCGCCCCCCGCCCAUGCUGCCGCGCCCCCCCGCAUGCUGCCGCGCGGGGCUGUUCAGUCGGGACACUGAACAUUGCCACAGUGGAAUUCUAGGCAGACAACUUCAGCUAACGGUUCUGCUUGCCAUUUGGUGACCUGGCAAGACACUUCCUAGAUAAGUCUGGAAAAGGCAGGACGCCUCAUCCUGUUUUAAUAAAAAACUUAGAAAAAACCGGCUUCAUAAGAGAAGGCCCGGCAGUGGAGGGAGCAUUUCAUCGUGUUCCAUAGACGCAGCUGAAAUGGACGGAGACCCAUCCGGAAGCCGUGGAGAGAGCCAGUGUCUCCUCAGCCCGCCCCAAGACAGGGGUCCUCCUCUCUCCCCCACGAUCCGGGCUUGGCCUCUCUGGGCUGUGAGACUCACAGGUGAAAUGCUUCAACCUCGGAGGCCACAGGGACCUUCCACCACAGGCCUCACGUUCGUUCCUGCCACCCGCUUCCCAUCCCAGCUCCUUCCUCCUCAGCUUGGCUCCAACAGCCCCGAGUCCCUGCCUCCCUUUCCCUGUCAUCCUUGUCUGGCCGUGCCCAACGCCAUGAAGCCAGAACAGAACACACUGCUCUACGCACACCACGGGCAGGCAGGCACUGGGCAGCAGGUUGCAGAUGGAUGUGGAUGGUGCUGAGGAUCCCCACUGGGUCUGGCUUCCCAGUCUUGGCCUCUGCUCUUCUUUCUCCUCUGCUGAGAGCCUCUGCUCAGCGUUCAGAGAGGGAAGGUGUGGGUGGCUGCCUCCUGCCCCAUGCCCCCGCCUCGGCCCCCACCUCUUCCCUCUCCUGGAGCAGUUAGUGUCCUCAGAGAAGGUCCUCGCUCAGUCCACGCCUGGCGAAUCCCACGGAGAGGCCCGGAAGCAGUUCCCUCCACGGCCAGCAUUCUUUCCUUACUCACCAUCUUAUGCUGUUACUGUCUCCGUAACUGGAACCGACGGUCCUCGAGCGAAGGUGUCUUGUCCCUCCCACCGUGCCCACAACCUUCACGCAGUGCCUGACACAGAGCAGGGCCUCUCGAGCCUUUGAGGACAUCUGGAGGACGACUCUGAACUCACCCUCGCGUUGCACCGUCUCACCUCUCUCUAGGGGCCUGUCCCUUCCCACGGUGACCUUCGAAGCAUGUCUGUCUGUCACCAUGUCCCAGCACAGUCUGGCCAUGCUCACUCAUGUCCACCCGCUGACUCAUUGCAGCUGGCACGCUUCUUGCAAAUGGCAGAAACUCACACAUUUUUUGCAUGAGUAAAUAGUAACCAAAAAAAAAAAAGAUGGUUUACGUGCUCUACACUAGCAGCCAGCACGUCACCUGGAAACACCGAGACGAGAGCCGCCACUCAGACAUCUCCAUCUCCUGGGAUCCGCGCUCCGUGUGGCCCUGGCAGAGUGCCCAGGAUAAAGGGCAUGGCCAGCACCUGCGGACUGCUCUGGGCCCCAGUCCUGGUCCCCGCAUCUGGACGAGGCUGUAGCAUCCCAGAGGCUUCUGCUCUGCCUCUGGGGACCUUUGCUCCAUUUGCAGAAGGUCUCCUUCUUCCUGCAGUGAGGCGGGUGGUUACUCCAGAGCUGCCCGCUCAGCAUAGGGCGACCCCCUGCCAGGCUGUCCAUGGUGCUCUUCCUAAGUGAGCCCCCCCACCCCCGGGGGAACCCCUGGCUCUGUUUGGGGCCUGGCAGACUCUCCCUAGGGCUGGCCCCUUCCUGCACUCCCCUCCCCUGCCCUCCGACCUCAGCAUAUGGCUCAGGGACACAGACACCCAAAGGCCUCCUCUUGGGUCCUCAGCCUUGAUCUCGGCCACGGCCCUGCUUAAAUAUCAGGAAAACGCAUUGGCCACAUAAAUAAUUCCUCACUAACGGCAGCGACAGAAAUCGGAACCAGCAACCCUAGAGGGCUGGAGGGGGGGGGCACCCGGCCUGUGAACAGGCACAUUGCUGCUGCUGUGCUGGCCUUCGUGGUUCAUUUAAGCGGCCUGCGGAAGGCCUCGCCUGAAAGUGGGUGCUGUCUGAGAUGGGGAGGGGCCCUGCGCCCAGUAGGACCCACACAACUGUGGCAGCCACAGAGCCACAAGGAGCCUCAGUGUAGGAGGCGAAGGAGACAACGUCCCGGGGGCAGACGCUGGGACUGGGCAGUCUCUGGUUUGACCUGUUCACCAUGGGUUAUUGACUUAACCUGUGGACAACUGGGCCAUUCUUUGAGGGUGGAGGGGGUUGGGGGCUUUUCUUCUACCUGCCCUUCCCAGGCCAGGGCCGCGGCUUCCUGACCUAGUGCACACGUCUGUCAAGCUCUCCAGAUACAAUGGGGCAAAAUGACCAAUGUGGCCCCCCGGGUCCCUGAGAAGGAUGCCACUGCAGUGGUUAAUCUGAUUUUCUGGCACCUAAAGCCACUAGGCUGAAGCCUAAAAAAAAAAACGAAACAAAAUUUAAAAAGUACAAAACCACCUGAAGCAAAGCCAGGAGCAUAGGGAAGGGCCUUAGGCAUCAAAGAGGGGAGGGGAGGGUCGGGAAGAGGAACCUGUCUGACUCCUGGCUGCACCAGGAGAUUCCUUCCUCACCGAGGGCGGCGCUGGGGCCAGCUGCGCACCCAUCCCUCUGUAAAAAUGCUGCCCCACGCUCCACUCUCUGUGUUUAUCAAUUUAUUUUGAGAGUUUUAUGACACGCUUGUGGCCCACGCUGCAACUAUGAAUAUUAAACGAACCCAUUUCCUGCUGGGGUUUCCAGUCUUAAGGCCUAAAACACAAGAUGAACUCCAGAAACAUGGCAAUCAUAAGGCAGGCUGAAGAAACUCCACGUGGAAAGGAAAACUGUUUUCCACAAAUCUGUAAUAAUAUGCAAACCAUAAUAAUAAAGUACCAUUCCUGCAGA